AACGCAUACAGACACGUUUCGAUUACAGAUGGAACGCAGAUGGUGAAGGAGACCUACGGGCAUUCUGUCACGAGUUUGUAGUAACAAUAGGACGUAUAUUUAUGGKAGCUGGAGUCCGUAGCCUACAUGCGCUUGCAUAUAAAAUACAGACAUCUGCAUACUGGUUAAUCUCAUGCCAUCCAAACACUCCUUUGUCCAGGCUUCUGUCUUUUUAUUUACUCUCUUUUAACCGCCCAUCAGAGGCAGCUGCUCGCCAUUUACCAGACCUCUGCUCAAGCAACGUGACGCACUCCACAGCACGUCCUCAUUUUAGAGGAGAUCGAUGCAUGGYGGAUCGGACAGCUCGAGCGCUUCAUCGCAGCCUUACUGACUGACACAGAUGCUGCGAGACUGGUGCAUUGUGGACCGGUGGUCAAACUUACAUCAUUGCAAAAGUGGCCAAACCCACAGCUCAGCUGUCGGAAUGCAAGACCCCAUGAUGACUGGGGUUCCCUGGUGUCCCUGACUGACUGGUGAAUACAGGAGUAGGGAGAGACAAAUGGGUAUGUGUCCAGUAUAUCCUCAUACUGUGGAGGGGGUUCUUGUAAAGGCAGAGGUUUAACAGCCGUUAUUGAUGGUAAUUCUGUCUUGUGUGCUCCAUUCCGUGAUAUCUUUCAAUGACUAUUGUUGGUAUUAGGGGAGCUGUCGUAACAAGUUAUUCAUUUAAAUUAGGUUAGUUCAAAGUAAAAAAAUUCAAAUAAGUUAGAAAAAAAAGGUUAUUCAGGUCCAUUAGAUACUGUUCCUCAACGCCUAUGAUUCUUGGUGAUUUUGCAGAUUAAUUUAGUAACCCUGGCCUACUGCAGUUCAUAGUAUCUAUUGGCAGUAGUCAAGGCCAAUGGUCCAGCACGUCCUUUGUAGGGUUUUGGGGACAGGUGUUCCAGGGGGUUGCGUUCCACUUUCUGCUGCUCUCUGCUCUGUGUUUAUCUCCAGAUAUAUCCUGAGGAAGAUGCUGGGAUGGUGCCAGCCCUCAGAGCCUAUUUAGACGAGUCAACGACAUUUCCUGACUGACAAGGCUGUCAACAAAGCUGUUUUUAAACAGUUGUCAACGCGGUUCAUCCUUACCGAACUGGGACUGGAACUGGGACCUAUGGCUUUCACCCACUGAGAAAGGGGCACAACAUUGGCAUUCACCCACUGCUGAUGGGGCACAGCCACACUUCUUUAUCUAUCAAUAUGUGUUAGAAGUGUAUCACCUUGCUGUGAUUAUUUGGAUAUUUUACUUAGCCUACUUAAAAUGGAAGUAUCAUUGGCACAUUGCUGGUUUCCCUUUAACCUUUUACUGCAAUGAGCUAAAUCAGUCACAGUGUUUCUUGGUUGUCUUAAACAAAUCUACUAUGAAACAAGAGUAUACACCUCACAUACAUGGUUAUGGGCUUAAAAAAAGACCUGUACCAUAUCAGACCUGUACCAUACAUUUGAAAUGUAUUCAAGUUUGAGUUUGCAUCCCAAUAUUACAGUUUAUAUACAUCAAAGAAGACUGAAACAUUACAAAACCAUAGAAACACAGAAUUUUCGGCGGGUUUUUGAAAUAAUGUUUAUUAAUGAUGAAAGAUAUGAAUAACAUUCCACCCAUGAGUCCACUAGAGGGCGAUUUGGUAAUUUGACUGCAGGAAAGGGCUACUUGUAGUCUUUUGUGCCACAUUGUUCAGGACUUUAUUGGAUAGGACCACAUUUCAUGCCAUAAGAGAGACUCAUAAGGGGUGGAGUUGUAGUGUUGUGUGUCUGACGCUUUGGUGCUUUGCAUUUCCUUCCCCGAAAUACUGUUUAACUGAGGGAUGCUUUCUCUCCCCUCCUUUGUAAAAUAACUCUAACACGUUCUGAUCCCCUUCCACACUGUUCAGCUGAUCAAAGCACUGACACUGCAGUUGACUAACACCUCUCUCUGAUGCCUGCUUCUCCUCAUGCUGUCAGCACUGUCCUUUCUCUUCUCUGUAACCUUGGCAACACUUUAACGCCUUACUCACCUCCUCCAAUCUCUGACGUCUAACAUGACUAACAAGAUUGAGUCUGCUGAGAUGGCCUUGCUGUUAAUUUCAAUGAUGUGCUCCUAACCAAGCUAGCAGGGAGCACACCCAUGACAAGCCUGUGUGGAUGGUUUGGUAACAUUAGUCUACCCUAACGUUACAGGAGUGUUGAGGAUGUUAGAGUUGUGUCAGUGUGUGUAGCUGUGUUUGUGUUGGGGGUGUAGUUUUUAGACGGUUUCCCGAGGCCUGGUUUGUCUUGUGAUUGCUGCAUGUACUCUGAGUAACCUUAGCUGGAGUCGUAAAGAACUAACCAACACUGGGGUACUCCUGGUUUACUAACCUGGACUAACAGUCUAACAUUCACUAAUCAACCAAACUGAAACCCAAGCACUGGAGAAGUGCCUUGUCUGACUCUCCCUGGUUAAAACCAUCCUUAACCUAAUGGUCUGUUAAAACCACUGUGUGUGUGUGUGUGUGUGUGUGUGUGUGUGUGUACAUUGUGUGUUUAAGAGUGGGGCUGUUACUGUCAUUAAUAUUCUUACACUCUGAAACCAAACCCCCAACUGUCAACAGCUCUCUUGGCAUUCCUUAAUAAAUACACUAACAAUAACCCUCUAAUACCUAACAGUACUAACGUCUGCUAACAGACCUAUUGUUACUAAUACUCAACUGUACUAUGGAUGAUGUUGGCUGGACUUGUAAUUUCUAACACACUCACUAACCCUUUGCUUUGUGCCCUGAGUCUGAGACAGAGUCCUCUCACAUUUUCCUGAAACCCUUCUCCCGCCAGACACAGAUCACCCAAAAUCAUAUACAAGAACUAUGUAUUUAUCAAUCUGUUAUAACCUUAAGUGUGAUAUGUUGCUUGAGACAUGUUACUUUUGGCCCCCUAAAGCACAAUGGUGAGUGAUUCCAGGAUCUGGGAUGGAAAGCUGGAUCAACCAAUUGAUUUAAAGAAAAAGCGCACCUAGGUUGACCACACACUUCUGCUCAGGGUGACGAUUGAUUUAAAAAAMAUAUAUAUUAUAAAUCGUACAGUAACUAUGCUAAAGAAUUGUAUUUCAUUAAAGCUAAAGAAUUGCAUUUCAUUAAAGCUGAAGUAUUCUAUCUUAACAAAUAAUGGCUGACAAAUGUUUGUCCCUCUGUCCAUUGUGUGGCCAACCUCCAAAAGGUGUUGCAGCUCAGUGCUGGGUUUGCAGUCUGCAUAGACACUGAUGUGUAUUAUCUUAUAAAAGAUAAACCAAAGGAAAUAGCAAUCCUUUCCUGCUUUACUACUAACUGAGUGGUGACUGGUAUACUAACCACCCCAUAUGAGGCCUAACAAUUUGACCAUUGAUUCAUUGCUCUUACUAACAUACUGUAUCUUCCCACAUAAAACAAUGCUACAUUUUACUAUAGAAUACUAUAGUACACUCUGUAGUAUCCCUGGAUCAUGUGUAGAACUUACUAUAUCAUUUUGUGUUAUACUAUAACGGUAUACAGUAACCGAAAAGACACUGGUCCGAAUCCCUGAGCCGACAAGGUGAAACAUCUGUCGAUGUGCCCUUGAGCAAGGCACUUAACCCUAAUUGCUCCUGUAAGUCGCUCUGGAUAAGAGAUUCUGCUAAAUGUCUAAAAUGUAGAAUGGUAUAUAGUAUACUGCACACUGUAGUAUCCCUUGAUCGUGUAGUGCUUACUAUAUACUUUUGUAGUAUACUGUGGAAUACUAUACUACACACUGUAGUAUCUCUUGACUAUAUAGUGCUUACUAUUGGAUUGUGUAGUAUACUGGCGAAUACUACACUCCACAUUGUAAUAUCCCUCUAUCGUGUACUGCUAACUAUAUAUUUUUUAAAUAUACUGUAGAAUACUAUACUACACACCGUAGUAUCCCUCGAUCGUGUGUAGUGCUUACUAUAUAUUUUUUAUUGUAUACUGUAUAAUACUAGAUUAAAUAAUACAGCAUUAUCUGCAAAAAACACUAGGAAAUACUACAGUAAUGUCCACAAAAACAGUAAAAAAAAAAAAAAAACUAUAGUUAUACUAGAUUAUUUUAAUUUGCAUAUGCUUCACAUUCCCAUCCCCCAUACAGUGGUGUAAAGUACUUAAGUAAACAUUUUUGAAAGUACUACUUAAGUAGUUUUUUGGGGUAUCUGUACUUUA